rnacentral:rRNA from 1 species
CCCUUAGAUGUCCGGGGCUGCACGCGCGCUACACUGAAGGAAUCAGCGUGCUAAAACCAUUGUCGAAAGGCAUUGGUAAACCCAUUAAAAUCCUACGUGAUUGGGAUCGGGAAUUGCAAUUAUUUCCCUUGAACGAGGAAUUCCCAGUAAGUGUGGGUCAUAAGCCCGCGUUGAUUACGUCCCUGCCCUUUGUACACACCGCCCGUCGCUGCCCGGGACUGAGCCGUUUCGAGAAAAGCGGGGACUGCUGCUGUCGGGGCUUUCGGGCCUUGGCUUCGGUGGAAACCGCUUUAAUCGCAGUGGCUUGAACCGGGCAAAAGUCGUAACA